rnacentral:lncRNA from 1 species
CAGCCUGGUCUCUCACAGGAGGGUCUUAGGCCUGCUUCAGGGGAAGGUCAGAAAAGUCUUCCUAGGUUUUAGGACCUGCUGCAGAGGGGAAAGAAGAGGAAUGGCCAGGGGAGGUCAGAGAAACCUUCCUGAACAUGCUGUUUCUCAAAUUCCUUCUGCUUAAACUGUUCGCUAUGCUAAGGUGCCAGAUUUGGGAGUAGCGUGUCCUGAAGACCAUCAACUUUGCAGGUGGUUUGAUGUGGUUACAAGUGCUUAAAAAUGCCCUCUGUUGCCUCAUCUUUGAAAUGGGAUAACAGUGAUACUAAUAGCUCCUGUCCAACAGAGGCAUUCAGUGCCUGGCAUGUCAUUAGUAUUAUAUAUACAUAACAAAUAAUAUCCUGUCUGUUUCUUUGAGGAGUUUCAGACACACUAUCAAGAAAGCCUGCUGUGUUGAAGUGUAAGAGUGCAGCCCCGCUUACAGCGCUUCUUGGUUAGAAAGGCCCAGGCUAGGCUGGGCAUGGUAGCUCAUGCCUGUAAUCCUGGCACUUUGGGAGGCCGAGGCAGGUGGAUCACUUGAGGUCAGGAGUUUGAGACCAGCCUGGCCAACAUGGUGAAACCCCAUGUCUACUAAAAAUACAAAAAGUUAGCCGGGCAUAGUGGCGGGUGCUUAUAAUCCCAGCUACUCAGGAGGCUGAGACAGGAGAAUCGCUUGAACCUGGGAGAUGGAGGUUGCAGUGAGCCAAGACCAUGCCAUUGCACUCCAGCCUGGGCAACAGAGAGAGACUUCCUCUCAAAAAAAAAAAAAAAAAAAAAAAAAAACAACAAAGAAAGGCCCCAGGCUAUGGCAGGGUGGACCCAAGACUGUUACUUGCUGUAUGUGGACACCUAAAGGCCCCCAGAACCAUCCAUCCUCAUCAUAGAAACUGGACGUUCUGAUCUUACACGAUUGUUUCAGCCCCCUCCCCACACAUGCCGACUGCCCUCAGUGUCUGCUUCCUUAAGCCUGCUUCCAUUUUAGCUAUUAGCGAGGGUUUUGCAUCUCGUUGCCUGCCAGCAUAUUAUGUGCAUCUCAUUAACUCUGAAGGCUCCACUACCCUUUAGGGACCAGACCUUCACAGACGUAAUGGCCUUCUGCCUGAGGUUUGAGUUUGCUGUUACUCUUUCUACCUUGGCUGAGGAAUGUCAGCCCAUGGAUUUCUAAUAAGUUCACAAAUUGCUCUAUGAAAUUGAGGU